AGGAUGAACGCUGGCGGCGUGCCUAAUACAUGCAAGUCGAGCGGUAAGGUUCUCACUCUGUAUUUAACGAGUUUGAAUAUAGUGUGAGAAUACACGAGCGGCGGACGGCUGAGUAACACGUAGGAACGUACCCCAAAGUGAGGCAUAAGCACCGGAAACGGUGUCUAAUACCGCAUGUGAUCUUCGGAUUAAAGCUUCGGCGCUUUGGGAACGGCCUGCGCAUGAUUAGCUUGUUGGUGAGGUAAUAGCUCACCAAGGCGAUGAUCAUUAGCUGGUCUGAGAGGAUGACCAGCCAGACUGGGACUAGAGAACGGCCCAGACUCCUACGGGAGGCAGCAGUAGGGAAUCUUCCACAAUGGGCGAAAGCCUGAUGGAGCAACGCCGCGUGCAGGAUGGAAGGCUUUCGGGUCGUAAACUGGUCUUUUAUAUGUGACGUAUUAUGACGGUAGCAUAUGAAUAAGGAUCGGCUAACUCCGUG
rnacentral:rRNA from 1 species